rnacentral:misc_RNA from 1 species
CUCUGGACAUUUGAUAUAACGCACUAAUCAAGCCUUAUAUUUUCAAAGUCACAUAAUUUAAUUCUUCAUAUUUAAUAAAGUCUUGCUCCCUGGCAAGUUUUCAUCUUGUACAUACAAAAUAUCAAGCAGGAAGCCAGUACCCUCCUAAAGUGCAACAGCAGAACCCACACAAAGAUUUUAACUUGCAUGAACCUAUGACCAACCAAAAAUAUAAUCAAGAACAUAGACCAAUGCCAGUGAGAAGGGAUAGAGGAGGUAAGCCAAUGAGGACGUCCAGAGAGGGAAUGUGUUGCGGAAACUGGCAAAAGCACCCAUCACAAUGCACACGAUGAAAAUAACCAGAACUUCAGAUGAAAAGUC